rnacentral:rRNA from 1 species
GAUGAACGCUGGCGGCGUGCUUAAUACAUGCAAGUCGAGCGGUAAGGCCCCUUCGGGGGUACACGAGCGGCGGACGGGUGAGUAACGCUUAAGAAUCUACCCCAAACUGAGGGAUAACUGCUCGAAAGAGUAGCUAAUACCGCAUAGUCUCUACGGAGUAAAGCUACGGCGGUUUGGGAAGAGCUUGCGUCCGAUUAGCUUGUUGGUAAGGUAACGGCUUACCAAGGCGACGAUCGGUAGCGGGUCUGAGAGGAUGAUCCGCCACACUGGGACUGAGACACGGCCCAGACUCCUACGGGAGGCAGCAGUAGGGAAUUUUCCACAAUGGGCGAAAGCCUGAUGGAGCAACGCCGCGUGCAGGAUGAAGGCCUUUGGGUCGUAAACUGCUUUUCUCUGUGACGAAUAUGACGGUAGCAGAGGAAUAAGGAUCGGCUAACUCCGUGCCAGCCGCCGCAGUAA